GUAAACUCCUUUUGAGUCGCCAUUCACGGCGACUAGAAUAAGCCCUUACUAACUACGUGGCCCGUAAAAAACGGGUUUGGCGCGUAGUAUAAAUUUCACUAUAUGCUGGGAACUUUUGUAAAAGCUUACCUACCGAAAGGUAAAAAUGGUAAGCCAAACCCUAAAAAACUAGCGAUUGGUAUGGGGGUUGCGAAACAAUCAGCAGGCAACCUCGAUUUUUCGAGGAAGUCCUCAGAGACUAUACGUGGAACAGGUUUAAAACCUGAAGAUAUAGUCCAAUGUUCGGAACGUAUAA
rnacentral:ncRNA from 1 species